GUGGGGAAUAUUGGACAAUGGGGGGAACCCUGAUCCAGCCAUGCCGCGUGUGUGAAGAAGGCCUUUUGGUUGUAAAGCACUUUAAGCGAGGAGGAGGCUACCGAGAUUAAUACUCUUGGAUAGUGGACGUUACUCGCAGAAUAAGCACCGGCUAACUCUGUGCCAGCAGCCGCGGUAAUACAGAGGGUGCAAGCGUUAAUCGGAUUUACUGGGCGUAAAGCGCGCGUAGGUGGCCAAUUAAGUCAAAUGUGAAAUCCCCGAGCUUAACUUGGGAAUUGCAAUCGAUACUGGUUGGCUAGAGUAUGGGAGAGGAUGGUAGAAUUCCAGGUGUAGCGGUGAAAUGCGUAGAGAUCUGGAGGAAUACCGAUGGCGAAGGCAGCCAUCUGGCCUAAUACUGACACUGAGGUGCGAAAGCAUGGGGAGCAAACAGGAUUAGAUACCCUUGUAGUCC
rnacentral:rRNA from 1 species